AGAGCUCAAAUUUAAAAUCUGGCGGUACUCCACCGUCCGAGUUGUAAUCUAGAGAAGCAUUUUCAGUGUCGGACCGUGUACAAGUCUCUUGGAAUAGAGUGUCAUAGAGGGUGAGAAUCCCGUCCAUGACACGGACUACCGAUGCUAUGUGAUAUGCUCUCGAAGAGUCGAGUUGUUUGGGAAUGCAGCUCAAAAUGGGUGGUAAAUUCCAUCUAAAGCUAAAUAUUGGCGAGAGACCGAUAGCGAA
rnacentral:rRNA from 1 species